rnacentral:lncRNA from 1 species
GCUUUAUACUCACGAUCUUGUAUCCAUUGAUUGUCUCGUUAGAUUAAUCCAAUAAAUUUCAUUCACUCCGCAUACUCAAUCCUAUAGACACCCUUUUAAUUCUUCAAUCAUAGACGUAACUUGAUUUCACAAAACAGUCAAGAGUAAUCAAACCCACUUCAUUAAAAAUCCCGAUUCACCAUUACAACAUUGACUUCAACAACGAUUGCCUCAGUCUUCCCAAAACCCUAUGAAGAAAAAAAAAACCCAAUUCUCUGUCUUCUUUCCCCGCCCGAAGCAUGAAGCUAGCUCUUCCCGAUCCUUGUCAAAAAAUCCCCCGUGAUCUUCAAAAACCUCCAAUGAAACCGAACUA